CGCGGCCUAUCAGCUUGUUGGUGGGGUAAUGGCCUACCAAGGCGACGACGGGUAGCCGGCCUGAGAGGGCGACCGGCCACACUGGGACUGAGACACGGCCCAGACUCCUACGGGAGGCAGCAGUGGGGAAUAUUGCACAAUGGGCGAAAGCCUGAUGCAGCGACGCCGCGUGAGGGAUGACGGCCUUCGGGUUGUAAACCUCUUUCAGCAGGGAAGAAGCGAAAGUGACGGUACCUGCAGAAGAAGCGCCGGCUAACUACGUGCCAGCAGCCGCGGUAAUACGUAGGGCGCAAGCGUUGUCUGGAAUUAUUGGGCGUAAAGAGCUCGUAGGCGGCUUGUCACGUCGGAUGUGAAAGCCCGAGGCUUAACCUCGGGUCUGCAUUCGAUACGGGCUAGCUAGAGUGUGGUAGGGGAGAUCGGAAUUCCUGGUGUAGCGGUGAAAUGCGCAGAUAUCAGGAGGAACACCGGUGGCGAAGGCGGAUCUCUGGGCCAUUACUGACGCUGAGGAGCGAAAGCGUGGGGAGCGAACAGGAUUAGAUACCCUGGUAGUCCACGCCGUAAACGUUGGGAACUAGGUGUUGGCGACAUUCCACGUCGUCGGUGCCGCAGCUAACGCAUUAAGUUCCCCGCCUGGGGAGUACGG
rnacentral:rRNA from 1 species